rnacentral:rRNA from 1 species
UUGACAUCCAGAGAACUUAGCAGAGAUGCUUUGGUGCCUUCGGGAACUCUGAGACAGGUGCUGCAUGGCUGUCGUCAGCUCGUGUUGUGAAAUGUUGGGUUAAGUCCCGCAACGAGCGCAACCCUUAUCCUUUGUUGCCAGCGGUUCGGCCGGGAACUCAAAGGAGACUGCCGGUGAUAAACCGGAGGAAGGUGGGGAUGACGUCAAGUCAUCAUGGCCCUUACGGCCAGGGCUACACACGUGCUACAAUGGCGCAUACGAAGAGAAGCGACCUCGCGAGAGCAAGCGGACCUCAUAAAGUGCGUCGUAGUCCGGAUUGGAGUCUGCAACUCGACUCCAUGAAGUCGGAAUCGCUAGUAAUCGUAGAUCAGAAUGCUACGGUGAAUACGUUCCCGGGCCUUGUACACACCGCCCGUCACACCAUGGGAGUGGGUUGCAAAAGAAGUAGGUAGCUUAACCUUCGGGAGGGCGCUUACCACUUUGUGAUUCAUGACUGGGGUGAAGUCGUAACAAGGUAAGCGUACGUGU